rnacentral:snoRNA from 1 species
ACCCUCCGGUUCCCUUUCCCAUUGGAUCUGAACCUGGUCUUGAUGGUCACACAAGGAGGGAGAGAGGAACACUGAAGCCGGCCUCUGGUGGUGUAGCCUGGUUGCACCCUGGGGGUGGUUUCAGACACAC